UUCACGUAUUUAACGUUCGCAAAUCGUCGUAAAUUAAUAUAAUUUGUACUAUUGCAGUCCAACGAACGCAAAUCACCGUUUAAUUUUAUUUUUAUGUGCGUUACAAAAAGAUUGCGUUUUAUACUUUUAUCUGGUACCUAAUAUUAUAUUUUUUUAAUGCGCGCGCGAAUCGCCACCUAGAAAAUUACCUUUGUAUAAUUCAUAUAGCUAUAUUGUGGCUAUCAGCCGUGUGUGUUAAUCGCCACGGACGGUAUUAUAAUAUUAUUUUCAAUAAUAAUAUUACCUAUUAUUAUUUUAUACUUUUUCUUAUUUGUAUUUUGCGACCGCAAAUCAUGCAUUUUUAUUAUAUUCGUUUGAGUGUGCUAAUCGCCACCGUUGUACAUCUUUUUUACGUGUGUGAAUUAUGUCAUCAUUUUUACUAUCAUUGCAAGUCCCGGUAGCGGCUGACCAGCUGAACAUCGACAAACUGCAAUGUCAGGAAGAAAGUCAUUUCCUAUACAGAUGUGAUCAAUUAGAAAAAUCUCCAGAAGUACUAGUUAGAACCAUGAGUGUAAACCAAAUGACUGAAGUACUCAUAUGGUGACCAAGUUGCAUUUGUAGUUUAGACUUAGAUAAUUAUUGUAACACCAUUAUGUACAUAUUUUAUUAAUUUUAUCGAUUGUUCAGUGUAGAAUCUGUUAUCACUGCAAAUGUAAGUUUGCUAAAGAAAAAGACAUAAUAUGCAACAAAAUUACUUGCAGUUCUGGUAAACAAUAUGCUACACAUGUCGACUCAUAAUUUUUACCACCAACAAGUGAUGGAAAAUAAGGGUGCGCCUGUUAUACACAGAUGAAACAUACUACAUAUUGUACAUACUACUGCUGUAGAAGCUGAUGCUAGAUUAAUAAUAAAUUAACUGAAAAUGAAGAAACCGGAUUUGUUAAGAAAUAUUGAUAUUAAUAAGAUUUUGCCAGCCUUAAAAAAAAAUCAAAUAACUCACCAAACAUUCAGG